GACGAACGCUGGCGGCGUGCUUAACACAUGCAAGUCGAACGGAAAGGCCCUGCUUUUGUGGGGUGCUCGAGUGGCGAACGGGUGAGUAACACGUGAGUAACCUGCCCUUGACUUUGGGAUAACUUCAGGAAACUGGGGCUAAUACCGGAUAGGAGCUCCUGCUGCAUGGUGGGGGUUGGAAAGUUUCGGCGGUUGGGGAUGGACUCGCGGCUUAUCAGCUUGUUGGUGGGGUAGUGGCUUACCAAGGCUUUGACGGGUAGCCGGCCUGAGAGGGUGACCGGCCACAUUGGGACUGAGAUACGGCCCAGACUCCGACGGGAGGCAGCAGUGGGGAAUAUUGCACAAUGGGCGGAAGCCGGAUGCAGCAACGCCGCGUGCGGGAUGACGGCCUUCGGGUUGUAAACCGCUUUCGCCUGUGACGAAGCGUGAGUGACGGUAAUGGGUAAAGAAGCACCGGCUAACUACGUG
rnacentral:rRNA from 1 species